CUUGGUCAUUUAGAGGAAGUAAAAGUCGUAACAAGGUUUCCGUAGGUGAACCUGCGGAAGGAUCAUUACAGUAGUCGCCCGGGUUGCCGCAAGGCCUCCCGGGUAACCUACCACCCUUUGUUUAUCACACUUUGUUGCUUUGGCAGGCCUGCCCUCGGGCUGCUGGCUCCGGCCGGCGAGCGCCUGCCAGAGGACCUAAACUCUGUUUGUCUAUACUGUCUGAGUACUAUAUAAUAGUUAAAACUUUCAACAACGGAUCUCUUGGUUCUGGCAUCGAUGAAGAACGCAGCGAAAUGCGAUAAGUAAUGUGAAUUGCAGAAUUCAGUGAAUCAUCGAAUCUUUGAACGCACAUUGCGCCCCCUGGUAUUCCGGGGGGCAUGCCUGUCCGAGCGUCAUUACAACCCUCAAGCUCAGCUUGGUGUUGGGCCCCGCCGCCCCGGCGGGCCCUAAAGUCAGUGGCGGUGCCGUCCGGCUCCGAGCGUAGUAAUUCUUCUCGCUCUGGAGGUCCGGUCGUGUGCUUGCCAGCAACCCCCAAUUUUUUUCAGGUUGACCUCGGAUCAGGUAGGGAUACCCGCUGAACUUAAGCAUAUCAAUAAGCGGAGGA
rnacentral:rRNA from 1 species